AGUGAACGCUGGCGGUAGGCCUAACACAUGCAAGUCGAACGGCAGCACAGUAGGAGCUUGCUCUUACGGGUGGCGAGUGGCGGACGGGUGAGGAAUACAUCGGAAUCUACUUUUUCGUGGGGGAUAACGUAGGGAAACUUACGCUAAUACCGCAUACGACCUACGGGUGAAAGCAGGGGAUCUUCGGACCUUGCGCGAUUGAAUGAGCCGAUGUCGGAUUAGCUAGUUGGCGGGGUAAAGGCCCACCAAGGCGACGAUCCGUAGCUGGUCUGAGAGGAUGAUCAGCCACACUGGAACUGAGACACGGUCCAGACUCCUACGGGAGGCAGCAGUGGGGAAUAUUGGACAAUGGGCGCAAGCCUGAUCCAGCCAUACCGCGUGGGUGAAGAAGGCCUUCGGGUUGUAAAGCCCUUUUGUUAGGAAAGAAAAGCAGUAGGUUAAUACCCCGCUGUUCUGACGGUACCCAAAGAAUAAGCACCGGCUAACUUCGUG
rnacentral:rRNA from 1 species